UAGAGGGACAAGUGGCGUUUAGCCACACGAGAUUUUGCAAUAACAGGUCUGUGAUGCCCUUAGAUGUUCGGGGCCGCACGCGCGCUACACUGACCGGAUCAGCGUGUGCUCUCCUUGGCCGACAGGUCCGGGAAACCCGUUGAACCCCGGUCGUGCUAGGGAUAGGGAAUUGCAAUUAUUUCCCUUGAACGAGGAAUUCCCAGUAAGCGCGAGUCAUUAGCUCGCGUUGAUUACGUCCCUGCCCUUUGUACACACCGCCCGUCGCUACUACCGAUUGAAUGGUUUAGUGAGGUCCUCCGAUUGGACCCGGUCCGGGCGGCGACGUCCGAGCCGGCGUCCGAGAAGACGAUCUAACUUGAUCAUUUAGAGGAAGUAAAAGUCGUAACAAGGUUUCCGUAGGUGAACCUGCGGAAGGAUCAUUA
rnacentral:ncRNA from 1 species